rnacentral:rRNA from 1 species
UACGUAGGGGGCUAGCGUUGUCCGGAAUCAUUGGGCGUAAAGAGCGUGUAGGCGGUCCGGUAAGUCCGCUGUGAAAGUCGGGGGCUCAACCCUCGAAUGCCGGUGGAUACUGUCGGGCUAGAGUGCGGAAGAGGCGAGUGGAAUUCCUGGUGUAGCGGUGAAAUGCGCAGAUAUCGGGAGGAACACCAGUAGCGAAGGCGGCUCGCUGGGCCAUUCCUGACGCUGAGACGCGAAAGCUAGGGGAGCGAACAGG